rnacentral:lncRNA from 1 species
CUUGAUUUAGUAAUGUCUGUGCAGCAGUGACAAAUGUCUUGUGUGUAAUUUUGGUUAGCAGAAUAUAUGCCCUCUAAAUUCAAUGUAUUCUUUAACCUCAGACAAUUUAAUAGAGGCCAGUAUGAAUUUUCUUGAGACCUGAAACACCAUAACUCAGCCUGCGUUUCACAACUGACUCUGGAAAUGAGCUAAUGUCACACUGGGCGCUUGUUCCUGUGUGGCCUGGAAACUGGGGGGAAUCUGACCUCUGGAGCAACUUAUA